rnacentral:lncRNA from 1 species
CUGCACUGCCUGAAGAAUAUUUGUCUGUCCGGCCUGACAGGCUGCCACCACGUAUCGAGCAUGCUCCAGGGAUUUUUCUCAGCAUCAGAAAGCUUACUAUCAGGCAUGGGAAUUUACAAGCUUUCCGACGAGGCUGAAGAAAGCCAGGAAACCACAAUGACAGAUCCACUUGAACAGACCAUUUCAUGAGAGUGAUUUGAGAAAAUAAAAAAU